rnacentral:rRNA from 1 species
GACGAACGCUGGCGGCGUGCCUAAUACAUGCAAGUAGAACGCUGAAGAGAGGAGCUUACUCUUCUUGGAUGAGUUGCGAACGGGUGAGUAACGCGUAGGUAACCUGCCUUGUAGCGGGGGAUAACUAUUGGAAACGAUAGCUAAUACCGCAUAACAAUGGAUGACACAUGUCAUUUAUUUGAAAGGGGCAAUUGCUCCACUACAAGAUGGACCUGCGUUGUAUUAGCUAGUAGGUGAGGUAAUGGCUCACCUAGGCGACGAUACAUAGCCGACCUGAGAGGGUGAUCGGCCACACUGGGACUGAGACACGGCCCAGGCUCCUACGGGAGGCAGCAGUAGGGAAUCUUCGGCAAUGGGGGCAACCCUGACCGAGCAACGCCGCGUGAGUGAAGAAGGUUUUCGGAUCGUAAAGCUCUGUUGUAAGUCAAGAACGGGUGUGAGAGUGGAAAGUUCACACUGUGACGGUAGCUUACCAGAAAGGGACGGCUAACUACGUG